CGCACUGCCCUCGCUUCCUGUGAGUCUUCAGGUAGCCGCUUGCUCUCGUUCCUAGGGAUUGGCCUGCAGUGGACGAGCAUCGCAUAGCCUGCGGGGCUGGACGCUGACCGCCCGGGCCAGCACCUAGGCGGACGCGGAGCUGUGCAGACCAGGGUUCGCGCGGGCCGGGUGGAGGCUCAAGCGGGGACCCCGGAGCGUGAGCCCCGGAGUCGGCGGCGCUGGGGCCAGAGGGGCCGGGAGGGAGUCGGCUGAGGUGGCGGCGGAGGCGAAGGGGCGGCGGGACCCGGGCCUGGCCCGUAUGUGUCCUUGGCGGCCUAGACCAGGCCGUCGCUGUAUGGUGAGCCCCAGGGAGGCGGAUCUGGGCCCCCAGAAGGACACCCGCCUGGAUUUGCCCCGUAGGCCCGGCCCGGGCCCCUCGGGAGCAGAACAGCCUUGGUGAGGUGGACAGGAGGGGACCUCGCGAGCAGACACACGCGCCAGCGACAGAAGCCCCGCCCCGGCCUCUCGGGAGCCGGGGGGCAGAGGCUGCGGAGCCCCAGGAGGGCCGGAGCACUCGUGACUUCAGUGACCUGCUUCUGCCCCUCUAGGUCUAUCAGCCACAGUCUCUGCAUGUUUCCAAGAGCAGCAGAAAAUGAACACAUUGCAGGGGCCAG
rnacentral:lncRNA from 1 species